GCCUUAUAUUCAUUUUAUGAUAAUAGAAUGCAAUUCUGUAGGAGUAGUAAGACUACUAAGGCUU
rnacentral:tRNA from 1 species